AUAAGAAAAACUCAAAAAAUAUGUUUUAGAGUAUUACUGUUAUAUUUUGAAACAUAAUUCGGGGAGUGUCGCAUAGCACGCAGGCACGCAGACACGCAGCGGCGGUACGCUCGCGCGAGGGUCGGUUCGGCGCGCGCGGUGCGAGGGCGGCAGCGGCUUGGGACGCGCGACAGAUUCGCAAGGAGGCUUCCGCGGGCGGGUCGCUGACCCGUCCCGCGCACGGCUCGGGCGCGCCAAUGUCAGGGCCGGUGCAGCGGUCAGCUGACGUCUGGCGGCGCGCGGGGGACGAGCCGCCGGCUCCGAGGUGCAGUCGAGUCCCGCGCUCCGGCAGAGGCACACGUCUCCUCGACCUCGCCGCGCUAUAAAUAGGAACGAGCGUCGACGCCGCGCGCUACUCUGGCGCCGGGGCUGUAUCCGAGUCAGGUACCUGAAGUAGCGCGCGGUGCCUACGCUCGAUACGCCACUCCACACCUCCAGUCAGCACACCGGCCGCCGCACGCCCAUUGUACUUCAUCAGGUGCUCUGGUGAUAAUAGUUCCAGGCGCUUGUUGGAGUACACUUACCGUGUCGGCGGUUUUCUUCGAGAGCACGUGGCCGCGCGCAGCAAGGUAAGGCGACGAGGGGCAGUGAGUCACGCGUCGGUCGCCGGUUGAUGACCUGCAGACACCCCCUCCUUGGGCCGCACCCUCGCAAUUUUUGCAAAGAUCACAUUUGCACUGGUCAUCGAACCUAUCUAGAACUGAACAAAGGCAGCCAAAACUGGUUUUCGUAUAUUUGGUCGGCAACCGCCCGCUGACGCGUUUUCCUGUACGAUUCUUAUGAGCCUAUCGUCGUGUGCGCAAUGUGAUUAAUUUUCAGACUGCUUGAAGGCCCUUUAAAAGUGAAAUCGAAGGUGAUCGAGAAUAAAAUGCAUAGUUAAGCCAUAUGUUGCAUUUAUUAAAUUAUACGUGUCAAAAAGCAUUCUUGCAAAACAUUGAAUCAAUGGGCAAAAAUUGAAGAUAAAUUAAUGUGUAUUUAACGAAAUUUGCCGACAACACGCGGACGAUGCUUCCAUGCUUUUAUUGCUUCUAUUAACUCGGGAGUCGGGACGAUUUGAAAUGGUUGUCGCGGCUUCGAGAAUGUGCCCGUUUUUCAUUGAUAUCUUAAAAAGUGUAAUUCAAUCGAAACUAAGACUUUAUUACCAUGGCGCAAAGACGAAUCUACCACAUUUAUGCAAAAAAAUCGUCUUGGUAGAUAAUAUAUAAUGCAAAGAACCAAUAAAAGUACACGUCUCGGGUGGAUGACUCAUUGGAAUGCGUCUAAUUGUCGAAGAGAAGGCAAAGAAUGUUCGUGUUAGAUUUCAAUUUAGAGUGAAACUAAAUCGAGUGACAAUGGCAGGUUGAAUUCCGUCAACUGACGACCAAAAACGCUUUUUUGCUGCUCCUACGCGACUGAUAAAAACUUACUGUUCGAUAAAGCAAACGAUGAGAAAUAGUUAUUAUAAAGCUAGGUAUAACUGUAAAAUUUCAGUGUUUUUGUUGUCACUGCUCAAACGUUAACGCCUGUGACUUCUUUUAAUAAUAUACCUAGAAAUCAUAAAUAUUUAUUCUGAUUCUGAACGUUCUGUUGAUCUGAGUCAUUGGGUGAAUGGUCUAGACUUGAAGACAUCGAUUCAAACUUAGUGGGCUGACGCAGAUACCGAGAAGUUUCGGUCGUGCAUUAAAUAUUUCGGAGAACUUUCAACAAAACAUUUUGCUAUGCUUAAGAGUAAAGAAGGGUCCUGUAAAGUCCCACAGAGGGACUUUUUAUCGGCCGCUUGGACAGAUCACACAGGAGUAUCGAUAUUUAAAUUUUAGAUGUCAGUCUGUAAACUGCAUUCAUUAAGGACAUCGCUAAGAAAGCGUGCUCAGAUUAUACAAAAGUGGAUGCGCGUUUGAAGGCCAAUAAAACGACAUGUCUACCUGAAAAGCGGAUCAGGUCGUCCGUCCGUUCACCCUCGACCUUGCCCCGACCCACUCGUCUGGACUUGUGUCCUUAUUCGAUAUUCCACACAGACGACCAGGAGAAAAUGGAACAAGGUUUGGUGUUGGCGGAGCGAUGUAUGCGGUACAUUGCGCAGGAGCGGUUCCUGUGGGCGCCGCGGUGGGGAGGGCUGCGCGCGCGUCGCCUCACUCGCCAAUUUUGCACAGUGAUAAGUUCAACGACUCGCCGUUGGAUGUGUGAAUCAAGUUUGAUACGGCGUUUAUGUGUAAUUAACAAGCUUAUAUAAGAACAUGUGUAAAUAAAUUCUGAAUGCAUAUUAC